AAGCCAAGGAGAGAGGCCUCAGAAUGAAAGUAUCUCUGCCGCCAACUUGACCUCAGACUUCUAGCAUCCAGAACUAUGAGAAAAUAAAUUUCUGUUUUAAACCACCCAGUCUGUGGUCCUUUGGUAAUUUGUUUUGACA